AGUGAACGCUGGCGGUAGGCCUAACACAUGCAAGUCGAACGGCAGCACAGUAAGAGCUUGCUCUUACGGGUGGCGAGUGGCGGACGGGUGAGGAAUACAUCGGAAUCUACUUUUUCGUGGGGGAUAACGUAGGGAAACUUACGCUAAUACCGCAUACGACCUACGGGUGAAAGCAGGGGAUCUUCGGACCUUGCGCGAUUGAAUGAGCCGAUGUCGGAUUAGCUAGUUGGCGGGGUAAAGGCCCACCAAGGCGACGAUCCGUAGCUGGUCUGAGAGGAUGAUCAGCCACACUGGAACUGAGACACGGUCCAGACUCCUACGGGAGGCAGCAGUGGGGAAUAUUGGAUAAUGGGCGCAAGCCUGAUCCAGCCAUACCGCGUGGGUGAAGAAGGCCUUCGGGUUGUAAAGCCCUUUUGUUGGGAAAGAAAAGCGGCAGGUUAAUACCCCGCUGUUCUGACGGUACCCAAAGAAUAAGCACCGGCUAACUUCGUG
rnacentral:rRNA from 1 species